ensembl:lncRNA
CAAACUGUAGUUAUGCUGUAGUAGUGAUUGAAUUAUAAGAUUAUGUUUUACAGUGUUAUGAGUAUGUGUCCAUUACAUCUAAACACUGUAAGAUGUAAUGGACACAUCCUCUUCAUUCAUCGGAAUAGUAGUGUCUUGAACAUAUCAAUUAGUGUUCAUUGUCUGUGUGCGAGGACACACUUAAAGGGAAAGUCUGUGCCUGUGUCUGUGUUGCAUUAGCGAUGCCUAUUUUACGGCAGCUGUUAAACCCAUCAGUGCACCUGGCCAUGGGGGAAUCCUUUUAUUGCGGACACAUGACUGAGCAUCCCCUGAAGUCCCUCUCCCCUUCGGAGGUGCAGCUGUCAGGUUAACGGGUUCCAGGGAAAGACAUAAACACGUGAAGCCCCAGAGCCAAGAUGGACACCUGCCUACUGCCAUGGUCCCUAUACAGAGUCACGGAAACAGAGCAAAUAUGGUCCCUGGACCCAGCAGCUCUGGGUAGAUUCCAGCCCUCUCGACUCACAUUCCCGUACUCUCCGUGAAACAGAACUAACGAUGUGUCUCCCUUUCCCAGCAGCCCCGGCCUACUGGUAUUACUCAAAACGAUGGCACGUAAUGUGUCUAAAAUACAGCAAGUAGAGAACGGGCAGUGAAGUGACAGACAGGAAUCUCUUGGAUGGAUCCAUACCUGCACUUGCGUUUCAUGUUUCAGUCAUUUAGCAAACAUUUUUAUCCAGAGAGACUUGCUCAAGGGCUCAACAUGCUUGCAUUGUAUUUUGGAUUUGACUGAUGCAAAUAUUCUUGUCACUGGCAGUAUUCUAACACAUUGUUUGGUUUGCAUUGCUUAAAUAAUAUAUUGAUGGUAACAGAGAAUGUCAGACAGAUCCAAUGAGACAUUAAACACAGUGAGAGACUGCAUUUCUUUAAAAGAUCUGCCCUAAUUACAUUUUCAUCUGAAAUAUGUGAGAAGAUAGAAUGUGGAUUCUAUUGGAGUAAUGCUGGGACAGAGGCAGUACUAGUUUCAAGGUUUAUUUCUCAAAUGCACCAAACAACACAGCGCCAUCCUGCACAAUGAAAUUCUUGUGACAUGGCACCUGACAACUAUGUAGCAAGAAUUAACAAGAAAAUUAAAUAAGCUAAAAUAUAGCCAAACAAAAAAUAAAGCAAUAAUAUACUGUGCACUUGCAGUACUGUAAACUGGCAGCAGUCUGGGUAGUAGUAUUAAACAUUAUAGAUAUGGCAAGUAUAGCAAUACUAUACAUAACGAUGUAAUUUGGUAGAAUUAUUGAAUAUUAUAGCAUAUUAUAGAUACAUAUGAGUGUAAUAAGCUUAUGAGUUGUGGCAUAGCACAAUUCAGCAAAUUCACUUUUCAGCAAAUUUAACUUGUUUAGCUUCUAAUGUUUUUAUUGCCCCUAUAGCCCUUCUGGGACAUUUGAUGCACAAGGCCUUCUGGCACAGAGCUGAUUGUGAGCUACCUACCACGAUUCCAGCAUAUUGCAGCCUUACCAUUGUAAAGCAGUCUGGGUUGAGUAGCCGAUGCUAAUGCGAACAAUUAUUCUACACUUAUUACAGUGUAUUAUAUUUAACAGUUAUAUUGUUCGGUCUACUUGUGCGUUCAAUAAAACCUUAUUUGAAACAGACA